CAGGGUUCCGGGGGCUCAGCGGCGGUGGGCGCGGCGGAAGAACGAAUCCUUGUGAUUUUCUUCCUCAGCACCCACUACCCGUGUUUGUUGAAGACUUUGGCCAAAGCUGCUGUCAGCUGUUGGCAUCAUCCUAAGAAAAGGACAGCUUUCAAACAUCAGGGAAACUUUCAGGAGACUCUUGGCUCCAGUGGAUCUUCUGAAGGGCGAUGCUAAGAAGACGUCUGGCUUAAAGAAUUAAAAGGACAACUUCUUCAGACAGGAAGAACUUCUUUAAAGUUCCCUGCAUGAAAAUUAUUUAAACGUUGCACGCAAAUCUUUUGUGAAAGAAGAAAAGGAAAUUCAGUUUGUGGGUCUCAGCAGGAGUUCAGCUAAUGCAGCUUAAAAUAAUGCCGAAAAAGAAGCGCUUAUCUGCAGGCAGGGUGCCCCUGAUUCUCUUCCUGUGCCAGAUGAUUAGUGCCCUGGACGUACCUCUUGAUCCAAAACUUCUUGAAGACUUGGUACAGCCCCCAACCAUUACUCAACAGUCUCCAAAAGAUUACAUUAUUGACCCUCGAGAGAAUAUCGUAAUCCAGUGUGAGGCCAAAGGGAAACCGGCUCCAAGCUUCUCCUGGACCCGAAAUGGGACGCAUUUUGACAUAGAUAAGGACCCUCUCGUCACCAUGAAGCCCGGCUCAGGAACCCUCACGAUCAACAUCAUGAGUGAAGGGAAAGCGGAGACCUACGAAGGGGUCUAUCAAUGUACAGCCAGGAAUGAGCGUGGAGCGGCAAUUUCUAAUAAUAUUGUUGUCCGUCCUUCCAGGUCACCGUUGUGGACCAAAGAAAAACUUGAACCAAUAACACUUCGAAAUGGCCAGUCUCUGAUCCUUCCCUGCAGACCCCCGCUUGGAUUACCACCACCUAUAAUAUUCUGGAUGGAUAAUUCUUUCCAGAGACUUCCACAAAGUGAAAGGGUUUCUCAAGGUCUGAACGGAGACCUUUACUUCUCCAAUGUUCUCCCAGAGGAUACCCGUGAAGACUAUAUCUGCUAUGCCAGAUUUAAUCACACGCAAACCAUACAGCAGAAGCAACCCAUUUCCGUGAAGGUUAUUUCAGUGGAUGAAUUGAAUGACACCAUAGCUGCUAAUUUGAAUGACACUGAGUUUUAUAGUGCGAAAUCAAGUAGAGAGAGGCCACCAACCUUUUUAACUCCAGAAGGUAAUGCCAGUCACAAGGAGGAAUUAAGAGGGAACGUCCUUUCACUGGAAUGCAUUGCAGAGGGACUGCCUACCCCAAUUAUUUACUGGAUAAAAGAAGAUGGAACACUGCCCAUCAACCGGACAUUUUAUAAGAACUUCAAGAAAACUCUGCAAAUCAUUCAGGUUUCAGAAGCAGACUCUGGAAAUUACCAGUGUAUAGCCAAAAACUCACUGGGAGCUAUCCAUCAUACCAUUUCUGUCACAGUUAAAGCGGCUCCAUACUGGAUCAUGGCACCUCAAAACCUGGUACUGUCCCCAGGAGAGGACGGGAGGCUGAUCUGCAGAGCUAAUGGCAACCCCAAGCCCAGAAUUAGCUGGUUAUCCAACGGAGUCCCAAUAGAAAUUGCUCCUGAUGACCCCAGCAGAAAAAUAGAUGGCGAUACCAUCAUUUUUUCGAGCGUUCAAGAAAGAUCAAGUGUGGUUUAUCAGUGCAACGCCUCUAACGAAUAUGGAUAUUUACUGGCAAACGCAUUUGUGAAUGUGCUGGCCGAGCCACCACGAAUCCUUACAGCUGCAAAUACACUCUAUCAGGUCAUUGCAGACAGGCCUGCUUUGCUGGACUGUGCCUUCUUCGGGUCUCCCCUGCCGACCAUUGAGUGGUUCAAGGGAGCUAAAGGUAAUGCCCUUCGUGAAGAUAGUUAUGUUUUCCACAAAAAUGGCUCUUUGGAAAUUCCUGUGGCCCAGAAGGACAGCACGGGAACUUACACAUGUGUUGCAAGGAAUAAAUUAGGAAUGGCAAAGAAUGAAGUUCACUUAGAAAUCAAAGAUGCAACAAGGAUCAUCAAACAGCCCGAGUAUGCAGUCGUGCAACGAGGGGGCACAGUGUCCUUCGAAUGCAGAGUGAACCAUGAUCACACCUUAAUCCCCACCAUCACGUGGCUGAAGGACAACGGUGAGCUGCCCAAUGACGGAAGGUUCACUGUGGACAAGGAACAUUUGGUGGUGGCUGAUGUAAGGGACGACGAUGGUGGGACCUACACGUGUGUGGCCAACACAACUCUGGACAACGUUUCUGCCAGUGCUGUGCUGAGCGUUGUUGCUCCUACUCCAACUCCAGCUCCUAUUUACGAUGUCCCAAAUCCUCCCUUUGAUUUAGAAUUGACGGAUCAACUCGACAAAAGUGUUCAGCUGUCGUGGACGCCAGGCAAUGACAACAACAGCCCAAUUACAAAAUUCAUCAUUGAAUAUGAAGAUGCAAUGCACGAGGCAGGACUGUGGCACCACCAAACCGAGGUUUCUGGAAUGCAGACCACAGCCCAGCUGAAGCUGUCACCUUACGUGAACUACUCCUUCAGGGUCAUGGCCGUGAACAGCCUGGGGCGGAGCUUGCCCAGCGAGGCAUCCGAACAGUAUUUGACCAAAGCUGCAGAACCUGAUACAAAUCCCACGGCUGUGGAAGGACUGGGAUCAGAGCCUGAUAAUUUGGUGAUUACCUGGAAGCCCUUGAACGGUUUCGAAUCUAACGGGCCGGGCCUUCAGUACAAAGUGAGCUGGCGCCAGAAAGAUGGCGACGACGAAUGGACGUCCGUGGUGGUGGCAAAUGUAUCCAAGUAUAUUGUCUCGGGCACGCCAACCUUCGUUCCAUACCUGAUCAAAGUGCAGGCCCUGAAUGACGUGGGAUUUGCUCCAGAGCCAGCUGUGGUCAUGGGGCAUUCUGGAGAAGACCUCCCAAUGGUGGCUCCUGGAAACGUGCGUGUGAAUGUGGUGAACAGUACCUUAGCUGAGGUGCACUGGGACCCCGUACCUCUGAAAAGUAUCCGAGGACACCUGCAAGGCUAUCGGAUUUACUACUGGAAGGCACAGAGCUCAUCUAAGAGAAACAGACGCCACCUUGAGAAAAAGAUCCUCACUUUCCAGGGCAGCAAGACUCACGGCAUGCUGCCUGGGCUGGAGCCCUUCAGCCACUACACGCUGAACGUCCGCGUGGUCAACGGGAAAGGGGAGGGCCCGGCCAGCCCCGACAGAGUCUUUAACACUCCAGAAGGAGUGCCCAGUGCUCCGUCCUCUUUGAAGAUUGUUAACCCGACACUAGAUUCCCUCACUCUGGAAUGGGACCCACCAAGCCGCCCGAAUGGCAUUUUGACUGAGUACACCUUAAAAUAUCAGCCAAUUAACAGCACCCACGAAUUAGGCCCACUGGUGGAUCUGAAAAUUCCUGCCAACAAGACGCGCUGGACUUUAAAGAAUUUAAAUUUCAGCACGCGGUAUAAGUUUUAUUUCUAUGCACAGACAGCGGCAGGAUCCGGAAGUCAAAUAACGGAGGAGGCGGUGACAACUGUGGAUGAAGGUAAGAUGGCUGGUAUUCCUCCACCCGAUGUAGGUGCAGGCAAAGCAAUGGCGAGCCGGCAGGUGGACAUUGCGACUCAGGGCUGGUUCAUCGGUCUAAUGUGUGCUGUCGCUCUCCUUAUCUUAAUUUUGCUGAUUGUUUGCUUCAUCAGAAGAAACAAGGGUGGUAAAUAUCCAGUCAAAGAGAAGGAAGACGCUCAUGCGGAUCCUGAAAUUCAGCCUAUGAAGGAAGACGAUGGCACUUUCGGAGAAUACAGGUCUCUUGAAAGUGAUACCGAAGACCACAAGCCUUUGAAAAAAGGCAGCCGAACACCUUCAGACAGGACAGUGAAGAAAGAAGAUAGUGAUGACAGCCUAGUUGACUAUGGAGAGGGGGUGAAUGGCCAGUUCAAUGAGGACGGCUCCUUUAUUGGACAAUACAGUGGUAAGAAAGAGAAAGAACCGGUGGAAGGAAACGAAAGCUCAGAAGCACCUUCUCCUGUCAAUGCCAUGAAUUCCUUUGUUUAAUCUGUAAACGCUCUGCCAAUAUCCCAUUUCUCUAGAAUGUUGAUCUUAAGCACUCGUUUGUCUGCCUUCUCAUACCAGGAACACACAGGCAGAAAGUAUGUGUUCUGCUGUUGAUAUUAUGAGAGCGGUGCAAACAAGAACAUAACUCAGAUGAUUUGUUCAUGUGAACUGCAGUGCAAAGUGCAUCCUUUUUCAUUCACAAUAGGUAUUCUUGUUCAGAACUGAUAAAAAAAAUAAUAAUACAGCAUCAUCAACCAAUCACAUUAUUUGCUUUUCGGGAUACAGUUCAAUACGAUGCAUGAAAAAUGCUACACAUAAAGGAAUACCUGUGUACCUUAUCAAAACAUGGUUUGAUACUUUACGAUUAUACUCUCUUCGGCUGAACCCCCGAAACACGAAUUCCGUUUUCAUUGUCAGGAGUGUUACUGUAGUAUUCUCUAGAACUCCAAUGUCUUUGUGGGCAUUGUUUUGAAAUUGGUGACUCUGUGUCUAGCUGUCGUUAGUCUUUUUGGGAGACUGUUAGCAACAGUAUGUACAGGAUAUCCUUGCUAUAUGAGUUCAUGACGACCAUCGCAUUUGCUGAUGCUUUGCUGAGACUCUGUGACCGGCCUCUGCCCCUUUUCCUCCGUAGCCUUCUUCCUUCUCCGGGUAUUACCGCAGCACAGUGUUCGACUUCUCACAUCUUCUCUAUGGUCAGUUGUUUUUAGGCAUAAACAAUGUGUAUCGCAAUGCAUUUUGGCACGUACGCCAGACCGAAAGAAUCGAAAACGAAUCACUCCACUUCGGUUUCAAAAAUGAUUCCAGAAAGCACAGGGCAAGACACAUGCAGUGCCUUCAGACAAUAAGCAUUCCACAACCCGCUGCCUUCCGCGGACGCAGAGUCCUAGCUCCCUGUCAUGGUCCCAAAGUAACUUCUAGAAAGCAGAGGUCAUGGAAAUGGCCAAUGCUGAAAGGAAGGGAAUGUGAAAAUAAAAUUAAUCAGACAGUUGAUGUUAGGGAGCAUUUCCCCGUAUGUAUAAAAAGAAAAAGCCUUAGCACCACUUGCAGAGCAUGCUGAUUUUGUGGGCUUUCUGGUUUCUAUUCAAACAAGCCAAUUGGGUCAGAAGGCGGUCGAUUCCGUAGGGAAUUUUUGUUAAAAAAAAAAAAAAAAAAAAAAAAAAAAAGAAGCUAUUCCCAAACCAGAAGCAGACAACAGCAUGCCAACAGGAAUGCUUUUCUCCAGGCCUUUACCUAGGUGGCAGCUUUGGAAACUCUCUGGCAGCAUUGAACAAUGUGUAUGCAAAUUACUAUGGACACAUUUCCGACUCUCAGAAACCUGACGAGUGCUAACAAGGUGAACAGUCAAAGGGAUUACAUCUGCAGUUUCCAAAACAAACCUACACAUCCUACCGUAUUCACCAACGCUAUCUAUCAAAUGGUUUACCUCCAAAUAUGAAAUCCUCUAACAACCUAUGGUUGAAGGAAUGCUCAGUUUCAUUUGCCAAUAAAUUGGUUUCUCAUAACUUGCAUCAAGUUUAAUUUUAAGUAAAGCUUUUUAUAUGUAGAUAUUUUGUUGAAUUUGUAAAUACACUGAAAAGGUGUAGAUGCUAUAUGGUUAGAGGUGUUACGUACGAAUAAACAUGCAACCAGUGUUGACGUCGUACUGUCUAAGAAGUUAGCUCAUGAAUACAGUGCAUGGGAUCAGAAAAGCAUUUCCUUAAAUACCUUUUGGGUUUUUAUUUUCCCUUUUUUGCUGUGAAACUGAAAUAGUGAAUUCUUCGACAUAUUGACAGUGAGUUUCUAGAUAGAAUCUUCAGAGCUUUGUCUGUGGGGCUCAGUAGGCAUCUUUGCUCUGUGUAGGCAAAGCCCAGUUUGAAGCCAUCCCAGGUGAAGAUGGCCCUAACUAUUUCCACGGCUCCAUAUUCCCUUUUCACAGACCAAACGUGCUAAUGGAAAUACAGAAAGACAAGACAGGCUUGCCUGGGCACCAGUGAGCACAAAGAUAAAAGUGACUCUAAGUUUGCCCAUGUUUGGGGUGGGGAGAGGACAAUAAAAGUACAGUUUCUACUCUUCUGGAACGGUAGACACUAGAGUAAUCUGUGCAUGAAGGGGUCACCUCUGUAAUAGUGCAACAGAUUUUGUAUUAAAAAUUAAAUGUGGUUUUAAACGUCCCUCUCUCUUUUGUAAUAAGUCAUGUUCCUAGUGGAGUGUGAAUGUCCAAAGUAACAGUGUAUUGAAGAGUACAAGCAGAUAUGACUGGAUUUCCAUAAAAAAAAAAUCACUAUUAAACCGUCUUGAUCUCUUUGUGAUCUUGAACUUUUUCCAACAUCUAUUUCCUAAUGUUUUCAAAUAGUGCAGAGUUUUAUUUUUGCCUCUGAAAGGCUGUGACAUGAAGAGAAAAUUUCACAGAGAACCGAACGUGGUAUACUGCGGAACGAAUGAAGUACUACGGGCAUGCCAAGAAAUUUUCAACGAAAAGCAGGUGGAGGCACGGCCAGCCUUUUGAGAAACAGUCGGAGAAAUCAGGUGCUGCUUGCUUUGCUGAAGCCGGACCUCCACUGGCCUGGUUCCCAGGUGCCUGCUGUCGGCCUGUCCUCCACCCUCCUCAGCCCCGGCAACGUGGAUUCCUUUCCCGCUCUGCUCAGUGAGACAGUUUGGGCAUUUGCAAGUAUUACGGGUCUGUCACCCACCCCCUCCUCUCCAGCCCUGACUUUCUCCCUGUCUCAGACUCCACCCGAUCACUCACAGCUGUGUGACACGGAGGGGCAGGCACGUUGGAAGCCAGACCACAAAAAGCAGCGGUCCACUGGGGCCUUCCCGCUCGGACAGUUUAUAAGGGCCCUGAUUUACUUGUAGUGCCUGAUUUUGGAAACGGCUUGCGGAGGCAAGGGAGAGAGAUUCAAAGAAUUUUCACCCCAAGUAAGGCCACCUCUCCCUCCCAGUUUUUCUACAAACUACCACCAGAGGGCUCCCGUGCUUUAUUCAGCGCGAAGGAAACUGCUGGAACAUGAAGCCUCUGGAAAAAAAAUAGUGCAAACCUCUUUUCAUAAGCAGACCGGGGUCUGGCGGUGCAGAGAACGAUUGCCUGCUGCGGCCGGAGAAAAUGGGAUUUGCAACUUUCUCUGACCAGUUCACACCUUUCAGGGGGUAAAUGAAUAAACAAACUUCGGCGUACAUACUGAUAUUCAGACCAAUGAAAUACUAAUCCACAAUAAGAAGGAAAAAACUCCUGAUAGAAGUGUCUCACUCCACUGAGUGAGAGAAGCCAAACAAAGAAAGUUUCAUUUAUAAGAAACUCUGGAACAGGCAAAAACCAACCUAUAAUGACUGAAAGCCUUUCGGGGAUUGCCUGGGGCUGGGGACACGGGGUGGGGAUUUACUACCAAGGGGCUGAGGGAACUUUUAGGGAUGAUGGAAAUGGUCUAGAUUUUGAUUGUGGUGGUGUUUACAGGGGUGUGUGCAUUUGUCAGGACUCAAAACCAUAUACUUAAAAUGGAUAUGUUUUAUUGUUAUAAGUUAUAUCUCAAUAAAAUUGGUUUUAAACAAAAAAUAUAAAA